rnacentral:lncRNA from 1 species
UAGCGGUGAAUGAGAUCGCCUGACAAGGUUUCUACAUAUGCGGAUUAUAGGUGGAGGUUCAUAUCCAACCUAAACUUAUUCAUCUCAAAUGACCAAUCAUUGUACGCAAUGGCAAUGCGAUUUGGCAUCUAGAAAUAACAUCUAGCCGAGCUCAAGGAUUGGAGAUCCGUUUCAAUCUUGCCGAGCUCAAGGAUUGCAAUUUCGUGUCAAUCCUGGUACACAGUCACGAGCUGUAGUACAACAAAAUUCAAUGAUGGUGGGUCGUAGAUGAAUAGUAAAGCUGCAUGCAAAUAUUGCAUAGCCCCAAGACGCAAUAGAAAGAGUGGUGCGCAUCAAUAAUGUUCGAGCGACAAGCUAAAGUUGCUUUGUCGUAGCCUCGGUGAGACCGUAUUGCGUGUGAACAAGGGGCACAGGACACUUCAACUUACAUCCCGAUAAACUUCUUUAAAAAAUGGGUAGUGAGCCCGUAGAAGUAUAAGCAGCAUAAGCAGCAUAAGCAGUAGAUAAUAGUGUAACACGUGACCAGUGUGUUAACACUUCAACCAACACCAUAAAGCAUAAAAAGGUGUCCGCAAGUUGGUUGUAUCUAUCUACAUAGUUUGAUGUAAGAAUAGAAUGUUCACUUUUGUGUUAUUUAGCGUAGGAGGGUCUCACUCCUUAUUUAGCUAAAGAAUAGGCUUUCAAAACGAGCAAUGAGCAUUGCAUGGGGCCAAUGCGACAUCGAGGAAAGGCCGGUGCACCUCAAUUGCUUGAGGAAUUGACCGGACGACCUCCAGGAAGUUGGAGUCGUGUUCGGGUGACCUCAAUGUCCCCCGGGUCAUCACCAUGCUUCAUGGUGAUGCUAGAUCUCGAAUGUCUUCGUUUUGAGCGGAAGAAUGGAUGUCCAUGAGAUUUUCUCAAAAUUUAGACCAUUAUAUCUCUUCCAGGUUGACCAAUUUGGUCAAACCAAAGCCUAUAUGAGUCGGUGUCCCAAAUAUCAUGUAUGGCGACAACAUGGGAUUCGAUAUUCGAAUCGUAGUGACAUACAGUUCACUAGAUUGACUCAUGAAUUUCUCCAAGAUGGGCUUCAGUUCGCAUUCAUGAGGAGGUAUACACAAAAGAAUUCUUGUUCAUUCUCACAAUGUGUUUUCAAAUGAAAACCAUUAGCAGGAAUGUCUUUAAAACUUAACAUGGUUCCUUAGAAUGUUGUGGAUAGUUCCACUAUCU